UACGGGGGGAGCAAGCGUUGUUCGGAUUUACUGGGCGUAAAGGGCGCGUAGGUGGCCAACUAAGUCAGACGUGAAAUCCCUCGGCUUAACCGGGGAACUGCGUCUGAUACUGGAUGGCUUGAGUUUGGGAGAGGGACGCGGAAUUCCAGGUGUAGCGGUGAAAUGCGUAGAUAUCUGGAGGAACACCGGUGGCGAAGGCGGCGUCCUGGACCAACACUGACGCUGAGGUGCGAAAGCGUGGGGAGCAAACAGG
rnacentral:rRNA from 1 species